rnacentral:misc_RNA from 1 species
CCAAGAUCGAGGCCAUAACAUAUAUGUAUGAGACAGUCAAACAUUUCGACAAUUUGCUCCAUGAAAAGCAUGUUUACAAGAUGCAUAAUGUAAAGUUCAGUCUUCAUCCGGGUGAAUUUAAUUUUCGUCAUCUAAAUGGUCCCAUGGAAUUGUGUCUUGACCAACAAACUAUCGUGGAGCCAUACACUGUUCCAAUUCAAAUGGCGCCAUUCCCAAAACAAAUACUCUUGAACCUUGCUGAUAUUGCCGAGUUGCCAAACAGGACUUUAGUCGACAUUAUGGCUGUUGUAGUCCACUUGGAUACAAUACAACGCACAAUGUGGGGCCCUUUCAGAAAGAUUGUUAUAAUGGAUGCUAGGGGAUAUUUACAUAUCAUUAAAGUUUGGGGUGACCUACUAAACAAAAAUGCACUCCGCUGGGCGUUGGCUAAGGAGGAUUAUGGCAUAAUAAUUGGGACUAUGUUUAGACGGUUCAGAAGACAAG